rnacentral:rRNA from 1 species
UACGUAGGGGGCUAGCGUUGUCCGGAAUCAUUGGGCGUAAAGAGCGUGUAGGCGGUCCGGUAAGUCCGCUGUGAAAGUCGGGGGCUCAACCCUCGAAUGCCGGUGGAUACUGUCGGGCUAGAGUACGGAAGAGGCGAGUGGAAUUCCUGGUGUAGCGGUGAAAUGCGCAGAUAUCAGGAGGAACACCGGUGGCGAAGGCGGUUCUCUGGGCCUUACCUGACGCUGAGGAGCGAAAGCGUGGGGAGCAAACGGG